rnacentral:rRNA from 1 species
GGUCGACGAUUCCUACGGGAGGCAGCAGUAGGGAAUCUUGCGCAAUGGGCGAAAGCCUGACGCAGCCAUGCCGCGUGAAUGAUGAAGGUCUUAGGAUUGUAAAAUUCUUUCACCGGGGACGAUAAUGACGGUACCCGGAGAAGAAGCCCCGGCUAACUUCGUGCCAGCAGCCGCGGUAAUAAUCUCU